rnacentral:lncRNA from 1 species
AAUUACGUUGAAGGUGCAUUGUGUUUCAAAGACCAUGGAACUUGUUGAUAAUUACCCUCGGUGUGAAGACUCUCUCAAGACGGUUUUAUUACAGGACACAUGUACUGGAUUUUGCUUCUCUCUUCCAAAAAUCUUUUUUUUUGUCAAGAAGGGGAAGAAGAAUGAUCAGCAAUGCUUUGGAAAAAGGAAUUUAAAGUUAGCGUAUAAAUGAAAACAGGCCUUAAAGGAUUUGUUAGUCUCUUCACAAUUCCAUUUAGUAUCAUCAUAUAGUAUUUGGCACAGUGUUAGCAUCUUGUAUAUAAUCCCUCCAUCUUUUAGCAUUUUCAUCAGCUUUAUUAUAAAAGCUUUUUUUCGGUGUGAUCAUUGUUCUUUUAUCUCAUCGA